CGGAGGGUGCAAGCGUUAUCCGGAUUCACUGGGUUUAAAGGGAGCGCAGGCGGACUGGUAAGUCAGUGGUGAAAUACCUGAGCUUAACUCGGGAACUGCCAUUGAUACUAUCAGUCUUGAAUGUUGUUGAGGUUUGCGGAAUGGGUCAUGUAGCGGUGAAAUGCAUAGAUAUGACCCGGAACACCUAUUGCGAAGGCAGCAGGCUAAACAAAUAUUGACGCUGAGGCUCGAAAGCGUGGGGAUCAAACAGGAUUAGAUACCCUGGUAGUCCACGCCCUAAACGAUGAUUACUCGACAUACGCGAUACACUGUGUGUGUCUGAGCGAAAGCAUUAAGUAAUCCACCUGGGAAGUACGACCGCAAGGUUG
rnacentral:rRNA from 1 species